UAGAGUUUGAUCCAUGGCUCAGGACUAACGCUGGCGGCGUGUCUUAGACAUGCAAGUCGGACGGGUGCUUAGUUGUAGCAAUACAGUUAAGUGCUAGUGGCGAACGGGUGAGUAAUACAAAAGCAACUUACCUCAGAGUGGGGUAUAACUCCGCGAAAGCGGGGCUAAUUCCCCAUAUUUUCCGUUUGCGCAAGUGGGCGGAGGAAAGGUUUCGGCUGCUCUGAGAUGGGCUUUUGUCCCAUCAGCUAGUUGGCAGGGUAACGGCCUACCGAGGCGGUGACGGGUAGGGGGUGUGAGAGCAUGUCCCCCCACAUGGGAACUGCGACACGGUCCCAACUCCUACGGGAGGCAGCAGUCUAGAAAUUUGCGCAAUGGGCGCAAGCCUGACGCAGCGACGCCGCGUGAGGGAUGGAGUCCUUCG
rnacentral:rRNA from 1 species